AUGAACGCUGGCGGCGUGCCUAAUACAUGCAAGUCGAGCGAACGGACGAGAAGCUUGCUUCUCUGAUGUUAGCGGCGGACGGGUGAGUAACACGUGGAUAACCUACCUAUAAGACUGGGAUAACUUCGGGAAACCGGAGCUAAUACCGGAUGAUAUAUUGAACCGCAUGGUUCAAUAGUGAAAGACGGUCUUGCUGUCACUUAUAGAUGGAUCCGCGCUGCAUUAGCUAGUUGGUAAGGUAACGGCUUACCAAGGCAACGAUGCAUAGCCGACCUGAGAGGGUGAUCGGCCACACUGGAACUGAGACACGGUCCAGACUCCUACGGGAGGCAGCAGUAGGGAAUCUUCCGCAAUGGGCGAAAGCCUGACGGAGCAACGCCGCGUGAGUGAUGAAGGUCUUCGGAUCGUAAAACUCUGUUAUUAGGGAAGAACAUAUGUGUAAGUAACUGUGCACAUCUUGACGGUACCUAAUCAGAAAGCCACGGCUAACUACGUG
rnacentral:rRNA from 1 species